rnacentral:rRNA from 1 species
UUGGAGGGCAAGUCUGGUGCCAGCAGCCGCGGUAAUUCCAGCUCCAAUAGCGUAUAUUAAAGUUGUUGCAGUUAAAAAGCUCGUAGUUGAAUUUCGGGGUUAGUAGGUUGGUCAUGCCACUGGUAUGUACUGGUCUCACUGAUUCCUCCUUCCUGAUGAGCCGUAAUGCCAUUAAUUUGGUGUUGCGAGGAAUCUGGACUGUUACUUUGAAAAAAUUAGAGUGUUUAAAGCAAGCUAACGCUUGAAUACAUUAGCAUGGAAUAAUGAAAUAGGACGUUCGAUCCUAUUUUGUUGGUUUCUAGGAUUGACGUAAUGAUUAAUAGGGAUAGUUGGGGGCAUUAGUAUUCAAUUGUCAGAGGUGAAAUUCUUGGAUUUAUUGAAGACUAACUACUGCGAAAGCAUUUGCCAAGGAUGUUUUCAUUAAUCAAGAACGAAAGUUAGGGGAUCGAAGACGAUCAGAUACCGUCGUAGUCUUAACCAUAAACUAUGCCGACUAGGAAUCAGAUGAUGUUAAUUUUUUAAUGACUCAUUCGGCGCCUUACGGGAAAC